rnacentral:rRNA from 1 species
ACGAACCGUGCGAACGUUGUUCGGAAUCACUGGGCUUAAAGGGCGCGUAGGCGGGCUGCCAAGUCUGGGGUGAAAUCCCACGGCUCAACCGUGGAACUGCCUCGGAUACUGGCGGCCUCGAGGGAGGUAGGGGCGUGCGGAACUGUGGGUGGAGCGGUGAAAUGCGUUGAUAUCCACAGGAACUCUGGUGGCGAAGGCGGCACGCUGGACCUUUUCUGACGCUGAGGCGCGAAAGCCAGGGGAGCAAACGGGA